rnacentral:rRNA from 1 species
GAUGAACGCUGGCGGCGUGCUUAACACAUGCAAGUCGAACGAUGAAGCCCAGCUUGCUGGGUGGAUUAGUGGCGAACGGGUGAGUAACACGUGAGUAACCUGCCCUUGACUCUGGGAUAAGCCUGGGAAACUGGGUCUAAUACUGGAUAUGACUUCUCAUCGCAUGGUGGGGGGUGGAAAGAUUUAUUGGUCUUGGAUGGACCCGCGGCCUAUCAGCUUGUUGGUGAGGUAAUGGCUCACCAAGGCGACGACGGGUAGCCGGCCUGGGAGGGUGACCGGCCACACUGGGACUGAGGCAGGGCCCAGACUCCUACGGGGGGCAGCAGUGGGGAAUAUUGCACAAUGGGCGCAAGCCUGAUGCAGCGACGCCGCGUGAGGGAUGACGGCCUUCGGGUUGUAAACCUCUUUCAGUAGGGAAGAAGCGAGAGUGACGGUACCUGUAGAAGAAGCGCCGGCUAACCACGUG